UAGGGGAGAGAACGGGAUUAGAAACCCCCCGGUAUUCCCUAGCCCGUAAACGAUGUUCAACUAGGUGUAGGAGGUAUUGACCCCCCUCCCUGUGCUGCAGCCAAACGCGUUAAGUUGACCCGCCUGGGGACUACGGCCGCAAGGCUAAAACUCAAAGGAAUUGACGGGGACCCGCACAAGCCAGCGGAGCGUGUGGUUUAAUUCGAGGCUACGCGAAGAACCUUACCAGGGUUUGACAUGGCGGUAGUAGGGAUCCGAAAGGUGACCGACCCUUCGGGGAGCCGUCACAGGUGCUGCAUGGCUGUCGUCAGCUCGUGCCGUGAGGUGUUAGGUUAAGUCCCUGUAACGAGCGCAACCCACGUCGUUAGUUAUAUGUGUCUAGCGAGACUGCCGGUGAUAAGCCGGAGGAAGGUGUGGAUGACGUCAAGUCCAGCAUGGCCUUUAUAUCCUGGGCUACACACACGCUACAAUGGCCGGUAACAGUGGGCAGCGAAACCGCGAGGUGAAGCCAAUCCUCCAAAGCCGGUCUCAGUUCGGAUUGUAGGCUGCAACUC
rnacentral:rRNA from 1 species